GAUGAAGAACGUAGCGAAAUGCGAUACUUGGUGUGAAUUGCAGAAUCCCGUGAACCAUCGAGUCUUUGAACGCAAGUUGCGCCUCAAGCCAUUAGGUUGAGGGCACGUCUGCCUGGGCGUCACAUAUCGUUGCCUGAUGCCAGUUUCCUCGUGAUGGGUGACUGUGCAGGGCGAAUGAUGGCUUCCCGUGAGCAUUGUUGCCUCAUGGUUGGUUGAAAAUUGAGUCCUUGGUAGGGAGCGCCGUGAUAGAUGGUGGUUGAGUGACGAACGAGACCCAAUCAUGUGAGACCCCUACCGAAUUCGGCCUUCAUGACCCACAUGCGUCUUUGGAACGCUCAUGACGAGACCUCAGGUCAGGCGGGGCUACCCGCUGAGUUUAAGCAUAUCAAUAAGCGGAGGA
rnacentral:misc_RNA from 1 species